GACGUAACGCUGGCGGCGCGCCUAACACAGUGCAAGUCGAACGAGCGAGAGAGAGCUUGCUUUCUCAAGCGAGUGGCGAACGGGUGAGUAACGCGUGAGGAACCUGCCUCAAAGAGGGGGACAACAGUUGGAAACGACUGCUAAAUACCGCAUAAGCCCACAGCUCGGCAUCGAGCAGAGGGAAAAGGAGUGAUCCGCUUUGAGAUGGCCUCGCGUCCGAUUAGCUGGUUGGUGAGGUAACGGCCCACCAAGGCGACGAUCGGUAGCCGGACUGAGAGGUUGAACGGCCACAUUGGGACUGAGACACGGCCCAG
rnacentral:rRNA from 1 species